GACGAACGCUGGCGGCGUGGAUUAGGCAUGCAAGUCGAACGGUAUGGACCUUUCGGGGUUCAGAGAGUGGCGAACGGGUGAGUAACACGUAGGUAAUCUACCCUCAAGACGGGGACAACCCAGGGAAACUUGGGCUAAUACCGGAUGUGUGUAGUGGCUAUUUUUCUGAUUAUCAUUAUUUACGUAAGUGAGUAAUAAUAAGAAGGGAAAGUGGUUAUUACAUAAAAGGUGGCGUAAGCUGCCGCUUGGGGAUGAGCCUGCGUCCUAUUAGUUAGUUGGUGAGGUAACGGCUUACCAAGGCGAUGAUAGGUAGGCGGCCUUAACGGGUGGUCGCCCACACUGGGAUUGAGAUACGGCCCAGACUCCUACGGGAGGCAGCAGUCGAGAAUAGUCUACAAUGGACGGAAGUCUGAUAGUGCGACGCCGCGUGAACGAAGAAUCCCUUCGGGGUGUAAAGUUCUUUUAUACGUGAGCAGUGUCCUUUAUAUUAAUAGUAUAAGGGGAGAGAUAUUAGCGUAUGAAUAAGACAACGGCUAA
rnacentral:rRNA from 1 species